rnacentral:lncRNA from 1 species
UUUCACCGAGCAAAUUUUAAAAAUUUGAUAAAAUCCAAUGUGAUGUUUUUCUUCUUCCGUAGGGUAUGCGGUGGGUGUCCGCGUUUGCGCCACGCACGUGGUGUGUGACCCGCCGGCAGCGGCUUUGGCAAAGCUGGUCGACUGGAUGCCGCACGGCUCGAAGUCUGACCGUUCGCACGGCCCGUUCCGCUCGCUGGUCCCCGGGCCUGUCCUCUGCCUGCACGCACUGUGCCCACCACCGCGGACACGUAGCUCAGCGCGGCGUUUGCAGCUCUUCCGUGAGGAGUGAGGCUCUGCUGGGGGCUGACAGCGGUGUGGACGGUGACCGGUGGAAGUCGCAGCUGUGACCGGGGCUCGCAAAGGUAAGGAGUGUCCUCUUCUAUCUACAGUUUGAUUUGGCGCCACAUCCUGCUUAUUCUACUGACACUUGUUGUCACGGGUCAUACUGUGCACGGUUAGUGCUGCACCAGCGUUGCCACGCGGCCAGCGUGGAGCCGACGCGGGUACGUGGGUUAGUCUGUGUGGCAGUUGGCGCGUGGUCGGUGUGGAGCCAAUGCAGGUACGUGGGUUAGUUUAUGUGGNNNNNNNNNNGCGUGGAGCCGACGUGGGUACGUGGGUUAGUCUGUGUGGUGGUUGGCACGUGGUCAGCAUGGAGCUGACGUGGGUACGUGGGUUAGCCUGUGUGGUGGUUGGCACGUGGUCAGCGUGGAGCUGACGUGGGUACGUGGGUUAGCCUGUGUGGUGGUUGGCACGUGGUCAGCGUGGAGCCAAUGCAGGUACGUGGGUUAGUCUAUGUGGAUGUUGACACACGGUCAGCGUGGAGCUGACGUGGGUACGUGGGUUAGUUUAUGUGGAUGUUGGCGCAUGGUCAGAGUGGAGCUGACAUUGGUGCACGCUUUGCGGUGGUCACAAAGAGGUGUGACCAGACAUUUGAAUAGUUCUCAGAAUGCACCGAGGGUGGGAAGCGGUCUUCCGCCAGGUCCAGGACGACUG